rnacentral:rRNA from 1 species
GACGAACGCUGGCGGCGCGCUUAACACAUGCAAGUCGAGCGAGAACCAGGGCUUCGGCCCUGGGGACAGCGGCGAACGGGUGAGUAACACGUGGGUAAUCUGCCCUCGGCACCGGAAUAGCCCGGGGAAACCCGGAUUAAUACCGGAUAUCCUCGAUCGGUCGCAUGUCUGGUCGAGGAAAGGUACGCCGUUCCGGGAUGGCCUCGCGGCCUAUCAGCUUGUUGGCGGGGUAACGGCCCACCAAGGCAACGACGGGUAGCUGGUCUGAGAGGACGAUCAGCCACACUGGGACUGAGACACGGCCCAGACUCCUACGGGAGGCAGCAGCAGGGAAUAUUGCACAAUGGGCGAAAGCCUGAUGCAGCGACGCCGCGUGGGGGAUGAAGGCCUCCGGGUCGUAAACCCCUUUCAGGAGGGAAGAAGCGCAAGUGACGGUACCUCCAGAAGAAGCCCCGGCCAACUACGUGCCAGCCGCCGCGGUAACAC